CCCUUAGAUGUUCUGGGCUGCACGCGCGCUACACUGAUGCACUCAACGAGUUUACGACCUUGCCCGAUAGGGUUGGGUAACCUUUUUAAAAUGCAUCGUGAUGGGGAUAGAUUAUUGCAAUUAUUAAUCUUCAACGAGGAAUUCCUAGUAAGCGCGAGUCAUCAGCUCGUGCUGAUUACGUCCCUGCCCUUUGUACACACCGCCCGUCGCUCCUACCGAUUGAGUGCUCAGGUGAAUAAUUCGGACUGCAGCAAUGUUUGGAUCCCGAACGUUGCAGCGGAAAGUUUAGUGAACCUUAUCACUUAGAGGAAGGAGAAGUCGUAACA
rnacentral:rRNA from 1 species